CAGGGCUUAAGCUUCCUGAAAGCCUGGGAGUCCUAGAUUACCGUGACUCAUUCAAAGGUCUUGGGGAAGUGUCAGUGAUGACUGCUGCCAAAAACUGGGUUGGAUUUGUAUGAAGCUUCGGGACAGGGUAAUCCAGCUGAUCCAGUGCGAUGACUUUGACAUGUAAUAGACCAAGGAAUUCAUUUGUGUCAGGGUAUGGAGCCUUCAGCUUGGAC
rnacentral:lncRNA from 1 species